rnacentral:misc_RNA from 1 species
AAUCCAUUUACGACCUCUUGCUGUAGGCAC